rnacentral:rRNA from 1 species
ACACAUGCAAGUCGAGCGGAUGACGGGAGCUUGCUCCUUGAUUCACGGCGGACGGGUGAGUAAUGCUAGGAAUCUGCCUGGUAGUGGGGGACAACGUUUCGAAAGGAACGCUAAUACCGCAUACGUCCUACGGGAGAAAGCAGGGGACCUUCGGGCCUUGCGCUAUCAGAUGAGCCUAGGGGAUUACUGUUGGUGAGGUAAUGGCUCACCAAGGCGACGAUCCGUAACUGGUCUGAGAGGAUGAUCACACACUGGAACUGAGACACGGUCCAGACUCCUACGGGAGGCAGCAGUGGGGAAUAUUGGACAAUGGGCGAAAGCCUGAUCCAUCCAUGCCGCGUGUGUGAAGAAGGUCUUCGGAUUGUAAAGCACUUUAAGUUGGGAGGAAGGGGUAUUAAUACUGCUUUUGACGUUACCGACAGAAUAAGCACCGGCUAACUCUGUGCCAGCAGCCGCGGUAAUACAAGGGUGCAAGCGUUAAUCGGAAUUACUGGGCGUAAAGCGCGCGUAGGUGGUUGUUAAGUUGGAUGUGAAAGCCCCGGGCUCAACCUGGGAACUGCAUCCAAAACUGGCAGCUAAGUACGGUAGAGGGUGGUGGAAUUUCCUGUGUAGCGGUGAAAUGCGUAAUAUAGGAAGG